CUGGCUGCCGGUGUGGGCGGGGCUGGCUCACGGUGUUCUCGCCAGGGACCCGGCGGGACCGUCGGGACCUACUGGGCGGCGGGACCGCGAGCCGGUGACAUCCUCCUCCCUCGGAACGGAGCUGAUGCUGCGGACUCUUCCCAACCAGAAGUGCGAGGUUAUUUUUAGGUCACGUGUCACCUAUAAACAUAAUCUUGGAAAAACUAAAGGUGGGACAUGGCCUGGAACCAAAGCCUCCAAGAUCCUUGGACACCUUCAGAUGGAUUUUAUCCAGCUCCUACCCUUCAUGAAAUGGGGACUUCCCUGGUGGCACAGUGGUUAAGAAUCCGCCUGCCAAUGCAGGGGACACGGGUUCGAUCCCUGGUCCGGGAAGAUCCCACAUGCCAUGGAGCAACUAAGCCUGUGCGCCACAACUACCGAGCCUGUGCUCUAGAGCCCGCGAGCCACAACUACUGAGCCCACGUGCUGCAACUACUGAAGCCCGCACGCCUAGAGCCAAUGCUCCGCAACAAAAGAAGCCACCACAAUGAGAAGCCUGCACACCGCAACAAAGAGUAGCCCCCGCUCGCCACAACUAGUGAAAGCCCGCACGCAGCAACGAAGACCCAAUGCAGCUGAAAAUAAAAUUUAAAAAAAUUUUCUAAUAAAUAAAUAAAAUAAUAUCUAAAAGAGGUGUACAGUUUCUUCCAAGAAUGGUGUAUGUCUGAAGAAAGUUUUGGACGUGUCAAGAAUAAGAUAAGCAGGUGACUGGAGAUUAGGAAAACCUGAGAGAACAGUGUUUGGACUCCAGGACACAAGAUAAGUCCAAAGAUUGUAAAGAUGAGAGGAGGGUUAGGAAGAUGCCCUCCACAAAGUCUUCCCUCAACACCUCAGUCCACAUCACACAUUAUUAUGUAUUAUAUAAUAUACAUAUACCAUGUAUUAUAUUACUGUAUGUAAUUGUGGUAAGCAGAAUAAUUAUCCCCCAAAGAUUUCCAUGCUCUAAUCCCAGGAACAUAUAAAUAUGUUACUUCACAUGGCAAAAGGGACUUUGCAGAUGUGAUUAAGGGCACAGACCUUGAGAUGGGGAGAUUAUCCUGAAUUAUUCAGGUGGGCCCAAUCUAAUCACAAGAGUUCUCAAAAUCAGAGAACAUUUCCUGGCUGAGUCAGAGAGAUGUGGUGUGAGAAGGACUCGAUCCACCAUUUCUGGCUUUGAAGGUGGAGGAAGGGCCCCAUGGGCCAAGGAAUGUAGCAGUCUCUAGAAGCUAGGAAUGCCCCUCAGCUUACAGCCAGUAAGACCAUGAGGAGCUUAGUUUUACAACUGCAAGGAAUUGGUACUGCCAACAACCCAAAGGAACAGGAAACAGAUUCUUCCCUAGACACUCCAGAAAGGAACU